UGGGGAAUUUUGGACAAUGGGCGAAAGCCUGAUCCAGCCAUGCCGCGUGCAGGAUGAAGGCCUUCGGGUUGUAAACUGCUUUUGUACGGAACGAAAAGACUCUGGUUAAUACCUGGGGUCCAUGACGGUACCGUAAGAAUAAGCACCGGCUAACUACGUGCCAGCAGCCGCGGUAAUACGUAGGGUGCAAGCGUUAAUCGGAAUUACUGGGCGUAAAGCGUGCGCAGGCGGUUAUAUAAGACAGAUGUGAAAUCCCCGGGCUCAACCUGGGAACUGCAUUUGUGACUGUAUAGCUAGAGUACGGCAGAGGGGGAUGGAAUUCCGCGUGUAGCAGUGAAAUGCGUAGAUAUGCGGAGGAACACCGAUGGCGAAGGCAAUCCCCUGGGCCUGUACUGACGCUCAUGCACGAAAAGCGUGGGGAGCAAACAGGAUUAGAUACCCUGGUAGUCCACGCCCUAAACGAUGUCAACUGGUUGUUGGGUCUUCACUGACUCAGUAACGAAGCUAACGCGUGAAGUUGACCGCCUGGGGAGUACGGCCGCAAGGUUG
rnacentral:rRNA from 1 species